rnacentral:misc_RNA from 1 species
CUCCGGUGCUUGAUACGGUGACGUACAGGUAGUUAUGGAGAAGCUAGGGGUUGCAUAGGGGCUAGCAGUGAUAAAGUGGUCUUGUGAAGUAGAAUUGGAUCUCUGGUUUCCAAAAUGACAGCCAGAGUUGCUAGCUUUGCAGUUGUUAUUGCUGGAGAUAAGCCGGUUAAGCCCGAAAUCAGAUAUUAUGGGCUCCAUAUCAGAUUUUAAGAGGAUGUUGGUAGGUCUGAUGCUACCAUGCACAUAUU